rnacentral:lncRNA from 1 species
GGACUUGUAGGUCCGGUGUGAGUGCACCCUGAACCACACCCGCGCGUCGCCCAGCCCCCUGGUAGACACGGAGCCCUCGCACAACCUACGCCUGGCGACGGCCUUCACCAUGGGUCGAAACAGCCCGGCGUUGGAGGCAUCAGAGGUGCGAAGGGGGUGAGCUCAGAGGAAGGGGGUUCGAACCGGAAACGGGGAACAAAAGACAUUUCCUGAAAGACAAGAAGAAACAAAACAAGGUUGGUAGACGCUGGGAAUACCAGGAACUCUCCGCCAUGGUUCCGGAUGAAGCGUCUUGCCGCUCACUGGUCGACCACCUCGAAAACAGAGGAUUCUUUGUUGUCGGUGAACCGUUGGAGGACGCGCAUGGUGCAGAGCCCAGCUCUCAGGAGACGGGGCACAGGCCUGAGCACAAGCGUCUGCUGGAGAUGGCAGAGGGUCGGACAGAGGAAGCUUGCCAUGGGCUCCUAACGGGCGAGCGGUUGCCGCAACAUGAGAUGACGCUGUACCGGUACUUUUGCAUGGCCACCCUGACGAUCACGCACCGUGUACCGGAAGAGACGGUGGUGGACUUCAAAGUAACUCAUUCCAAUGUUCCCUCCAGCCGGUUUCUGUUUCCCUCCAACUUUGACUCUGCUCGGUUCGAGUUGUUUGUAUCCUCGCCUACAAUAAGAGUCCCCCGUAACAGGUCACUGAGUGGAAUGACAGGCAGGUGA